UAUAGAGAAGGUGUGGCCCUGUGAGUUCUGCACGGAACCUGGGAGCUUCCGGGAGCAAAUCUCAGCCGGCUGUUCUUGGCAGGCUCAGGCCGCGUCCGAACAGGCUAGGAACUCAAUGCGUAACUCAAGUGGCCUUGACUUCACUUUGUAGCCCAGGCUGGCUUCAAACUCAUGACAAUCCUCCUGCCUCAGCCUCCCAAGUACUGGGAUUACAAGCGUGUGCCACACCUGGCUCCACUAGAUUUUUAAGGAUGGGCUCUUUUACAAAUGAGACGAUGAAAAGUGUUCCCAUUAUGACACAAGUAAGAGAAGUCACAGUGCCAAAAGUAAGCUGCCCUUGGGCAACUCCAGGAGGCGGGAUGCAGAGCCAGAGAACAGGGGUUGUCACUGGACAGGUCAGAGAAGCCUCGAUAGGAAACCAGGCGGAAUAGGUAGCCCACGAGCAUUCUGGAUUCCUGCACGAAUGGAAGCCCACGAGCAUUCUGGAUUCCUGCACGAAGAUGAGGAGGAUUUAAAUGAGACUGAUAUGAUUGACAGGAACAGUAAACUGGAACAGGGAGGGACAAGAAGCAAGGUGAACAUCGAGCAGGGUGCUGAGGUCUGGGUACCACUCACCAUGACCUGGUAGGCGAUGGGACACUGGCAAGAGACUGGUGACCUCUACAAGAGACACAUGAAGAUUCUGCAGCAGGGGAACCCAGCGUGUCUGGAGGGGUUGGGAGGAGGUCAUCUUUGUUUCUUAUCCUGACAGUCACUAAUAAAUUUUGGUUUUGGUUUUAUUUUAAUGUUAAA